UUCCGCGAGUGACCAGACGUGGUCAGUCAGAGACAACGAGUGACUGCAACGAGAGGGAGAAGCAUUACCUGAAGAGCAGCUCCACCUCGCGUGUUCCCAAAAAUCAGAACACCUCCUCCUCCACAGAGCUUCUCCGUCAGAGAACAAGGAAUUUCACUCAGUGCUUCCUUCCCGUUCUGGAGUGUUGGAGGAAUGCUCGAGGCCUGGGCAGAUCGGGCUUCACUUACAAUGAGUUGUUUCAAGAACUACAUAUGGUGAGGAGUGAUGAUAUCAGAGAGACCUCACCUCCGCUCACCUCACCGUCAAGCACAUGACAGAAUGAACCGAUCAAACGGAUGAAACUCUCCCCUGGGAGUACCUGCUCCGGUGGCUCACCCCGAGCCACCAGACAGCUUCCCCUCCUCCAACGCCGCCUUGCCGCAGACGCCGCCAUCACGUCUCGGCAAUCCUCUCCACCCUUCUGGAGCCAGAUGGGAGGUUGGACUGGGAGACGCAGCUGGACCGUUCCUGUUAUGUGGGCACCAGAUUGGCUGUGUGCUCCCCCAGCGUUGGUCCACGGCGCCGGGAAGGUACCCGGGCUCCACCAACACCUCUAGCCCCGGAGCGGCACCGCAGGCUCACCGCCACCCCGGCUCGGCGCGCCGGCUUGGACCCCCAGCCUCUGUCUUCUGUCCAGUCGGCACCUCCCUCAUCUGCAGGGGGAGGGA